rnacentral:rRNA from 4 species
AGGUGAACUGCGGAAGGAUCAUUGUUG